AGAGUUUGAUCAUGGCUCAGGAUCAACGCUGGCGGCGUGCCUAAUGCAUGCAAGUCGGACGGGCUUGGCCUUGGUCGAGUCACGUGGCGGACGGGUGCGGAGCACGUGGGCAAGCUGCCCUGGGGCGGGGGAUAGCCGCGGGAAACGGCGGGCAAUUCCGCGUACGCUGGUUUGUCGGUGGGACAGAUCAGGAAAGGCUGGAGGAAUUCAGUCACCCUGGGAGGCGCCUGCGGCCGAUUAGCUAGUUGGGGGGGUAACGGCCCACCAAGGCGAUGAUCGGUAGCUGGUCUGAGAGGACGGCCAGCCACACGGGGACUGAGACACGGCCCCGACUCCGACGGGAGGCAGCAGCAAGGAAUCUUCCGCAAUGGGCGCAAGCCUGACGGAGCAACGCCGCGUGGGGGAUGACACCCUUCGGGGCGUAAACCCCUUUUCUGUCGGAAGAAGACGUUUCGGCGUUUGACGGUACGGCAGGAAGAAGGACCGGCUAACCACGUGCCAGCCGCCGCGGUAAUUC
rnacentral:rRNA from 1 species